rnacentral:rRNA from 1 species
GUCUACGGCCAUGCCACCCUGAACAAGCCCGAUCCUGUCUGAUCUCGGAAGCUAAGCAGGGUCGGGCCUGGUUAGUACUCGGAUGGGAGACCACCUAGGAAGACCAGGUGCUGUAGGCA